CGCGUUCAACUCGCCUUCAACUCCUCUCCGCGGUCACCAACUUUCGGCCAGUCCGCAGACAGACGAGAAGAAGCUGCUGAUGCUCUCAGUGGAUCGUCUCGUCAACUCCAACAACAAACUGCCGAUAUCAACGAGCGGUUCGCUCCACUGGAGCAGUCGGGACUCUGCGGGUUUCUGUUCAUGGAGGAGAGGAACCGACUCAAAGAAGAGGAGACGGGCGCACAAUCCCAAGAUAGCGGAAGCGCUGCGCCGUCUUCACAACUCCGAGACGAACUACAAGCGCUACGAACCGGAGAAAGGACUAAUCGCGCCUCAUAAUGAGGCGGUGACCUCGUAUUUGCUCCGGGAAAAGUCCAGAUUUAGACGACGUCAUUGUGUGUAAGUAACGCCGUUUACUGUUUCUCCUUCCUUGUUAAAUGUUACUGUGACUUGCGUUUGAUUUUUUUUGUAUUCAUAUCACACUCAUUUAAUUGUUUUCCAGCUCCCUGUGAGACGUAUUUUGAGACGGAACGCAGGAGCUUCAGGUUUUCCAGCCGGAACACUCAUUGCAGAGUUCAGCGCGGAGUCGAGCGAGAAGAAAGCAGGUCAGAGUUUAUUUGCUGACUUUUUCAG
ensembl:lncRNA